rnacentral:lncRNA from 1 species
GCAGAGCUUCCAUCCAGUUCAGAAACAAAGCAAUUCAAUACAUGUCUUCAAGAUUUCUAAAGGCAAUGACUUAAUUCUAAGUUCCAUGAAAGCAGGCAUUGUGUGAAUUUCUCCUGCAUCUGGAACUGGCCUAGCACACCAAAUGGAGUCUCACUCUGUCUCCCACGCUGGAGUGCCUCUGAAUGCUGUUUUAGCCAUGGUUCUGGAGAGGGUAGCGACAGGAGCUGUCUAGGUGGGAUCCAGAGGAAAGUACGAAUGAGCAGAAGGUAAGGGAACAUUAUAUUUCCUUCCAGGUUGUUGAGACUAGGCCUCCAGAGAAGCACAGUCUAAUAAUAAAUCAUUUGUAAUUCUCCUGAGUAUUACUUUACUGAGUCAUUCAUUAACCUCAGAUUUAACAGUAUGGAGAUAAGGAGUCAUACUGUAUCACAGAAGUUGGCAAACUAUGACCUGCCUGCCAAACAUUGCCUGUAGUAAAUACAUAAGUAAAAUUUUGUUAAAAUACAGUCACACCUAUUAGUUCACAUCUUGUCCCUGCUGCUUUUUUAAUACUACAACAGUGGAGUUGAGUGGGAGUGAGCAAGAUUGUGUGGCCUGUGAAGCCUGUAAUAGCUAUCUGGUGUUUUACAGAAAAAGGUUGCUGGCCCCUAUUCUAGUCUUACAUAUUUCUCUUUUUUUCAACAAUGUAGAUAAAAUUCUGCAAUCCCAUAAAAGUGAUGAAAUAAUACUCAAUUUCUAGUUCAUAUACUGUCUGAUGUGCUACUGUCUGCCAGAUUGUUGACAAAUAGUAAAUAGUUCAUGAAAACUCUGUAUUACAUAAAAGCAGCCACCAAAAACACAUCCUGUGCUAUUUCAUGUUGCCAUUACAAGGUGUUUAGAUAAAAUGAAGAUCAUCCAGGUGCUGUGGCUCAUACCUGUAAUACCAGCACUUUGGGAGGCUGAGGCGGGCAGAUCACCUGAGGUCAGGAGUUUCAGAACAGUCUGGCCAACAUGGUGAAACUCCAUCUCUACUAAAAGUACAAAAAUUAGCUGGGUGUGGUGGCACAUGCCUGUAAUCCCAGCUGCUGGGGAGGCUGAGGUGGGAGAACUGCUUGAACCUGGGAGGCAGAGGUUGCAGUGAGCCAAGAUGAUGCCACUGCUCUCCAGCCUAGGUGACAGAGCGAGACUACAUCUCAAAAAAAAAAAAAAAAAAAAAAGAA